GUUUCUGUAGCGUAAUGGAUAGCGCAUUAGACUACUAAUCCAAAGGUCGUGGGUUCGAAUCCUACCUGGAAUG